AAUACCGUAUACGCCCUUUGGGGGAAAGAUUUUAUCGGAGAAGGAUCGGCCCGCGUUGGAUUAGGUAGUUGGUGGGGUAACGGCCCUACCAAGCCGACGAUCCCAUAGCUGGUUUGAGAGGAUGAUCAGCCACACUGGGACUGAGACACGGCCCAGACUCCUACGGGAGGCAGCAGUGGGGAAUCUUGGACAAUGGGGGAAACCCUGAUCCAGCCAUGCCGCGUGAGCGAUGAAGGCCUUAGGGUUGUAAAGCUCUUUCAGUGGGGAAGAUAAUGACGGUACCCACAGAAGAAGCCCCGGCUAACUCCGUG
rnacentral:rRNA from 1 species